rnacentral:tRNA from 1 species
UUCCCCGCCUCAUCCGGUUUCACCUGAAUACCAUCAAGAUAAACAGCGAAGCCCGCACCAUUAUUAGUAGCAUUAUU